GGUUAAGCUGGAAAGGGCGCACGGUGGAUGCCUUGGCACUAGGAGCCGAUGAAGGACGGGGCAAACGCCGAAACGCUUCGGGGAGCUGUAAGCAAGCGUGGAUCCGGAGAUGUCCGAAUGGGGGAACCCACUGUCCGUAAUGGGGCAGUAUCCAUGUCUGAAUCCAUAGGGCAUGGAGGGCACACCCGGGGAACUGAAACAUCUUAGUACCCGGAGGAGAAGAAAGCAACCGCGAUUCCCUGAGUAGCGGCGAGCGAAACGGGAACAGCCCAAACCAAGAGGCGUGUCCUCUUGGGGUUGUAGGACCGCUCACGAUGGGAGUGAGAAAGGAACGGGGUAGACGAACCGGUCUGGAACGGCCGGCCGGAGAAGGUGAGAGCCCUGUAGUCGAAACUUCGUUCCCUCCCGAGCGGAUCCUGAGUACGGCGGGACACGAGGAAUCCCGUCGGAAGCAGGGAGGACCAUCUCCCAAGGCUAAAUACUCCCUAGUGACCGAUAGUGCACCAGUACCGUGAGGGAAAGGUGAAAAGCACCCCGGGAGGGGAGUGAAAGAGAACCUGAAACCGUGUGCCUACAAGUAGUCAGAGCCCGUUGAUGGGUGAUGGCGUGCCUUUUGUAGAAUGAACCGGCGAGUGACGAUGGCGUGCGAGGUUAAGCCAAAGAGGCGGAGCCGCAGCGAAAGCGAGUCUGAACAGGGCGUGUGAGUACGUCGUCGUCGACCCGAAACCAGGUGAUCUACCCAUGUCCAGGGUGAAGGCCGGGUAACACCGGCUGGAGGCCCGAACCCACGCACGUUGAAAAGUGCGGGGAUGAGGUGUGGGUAGGGGUGAAAUGCCAAUCGAACUUGGAGAUAGCUGGUUCUCCCCGAAAUAGCUUUAGGGCUAGCCUCGGGUUUGAGAGUCUUGGAGGUAGAGCACUGAUUGGGCUAGGGGCCCUCAACGGGUUACCGAACCCAGUCAAACUCCGAAUGCCAAUGACUUAUGCCCGGGAGUCAGACUGCGAGUGAUAAGAUCCGUGGUCGAGAGGGGAACAGCCCAGACCGCCAGCUAAGGCCCCGAAGUGCACGUUCAGUGGAAAAGGAUGUGGAGUUGCCGAGACAACCAGGAUGUUGGCUUAGAAGCAGCCACCAUUUAAAGAGUGCGUAAUAGCUCACUGGUCGAGUGACUCUGCGCCGAAAAUGUACCGGGGCUAAACGUGCCGCCGAAGCUGCGGGAUGACCGUUGGUCAUCGGUAGGGGAGCGUUCUAAGGGCAGAGAAGCCAGACCGGAAGGACUGGUGGAGCGCUUAGAAGUGAGAAUGCCGGUAUGAGUAGCGAAAACAGAGGUGAGAAUCCUCUGCGCCGAAAGCCUAAGGGUUCCUGAGGAAGGUUCGUCCGCUCAGGGUUAGUCGGGACCUAAGCCGAGGCCGAAAGGCGUAGGUGAUGGACAACAGGUUGAGAUUCCUGUACCACCUUCUUCCCGUUUGAGCGAUGGGGGGACGCAGGAGGAUAGGGCGAGCAGGCGGCUGGAAGAGCCUGUCCAAGCCGUGAGGCUGAUCCGCAGGCAAAUCCGCGGAUCGUAAGGCUAAGCGGUGACGGCGACGGACGCAG
rnacentral:rRNA from 1 species